GGAGAAGGAUCGGGCUGUUACAAUACAUGUGUCACAUGUGUGUGUGUAACUAAAAAGAAAAAAGAUAGGAGCUUCUAAAUACAGGAACUCAAAUAAAAAUACCUACACAUCAGCCUACAUGAAAUAUAUAUUCAUACAGAUUCCAAAAGGAUGGCAUAUCAGGAAACGUUAUAGCGCAUAAAUACAAGAGAAUGGACAGGUCACAGAUACAAUGCUUCUUCCAUCUAAAUUAUAUAAUUAGCUAAAACAAAAAUAUAACUAUAAGAAAGACUGUGCUAGAAAAUCACACCAACACCAAGUAUCAUUCUAUCAAGUUCAACACCAUCACUCAUACCCAAUCAAACAAUAUAUUGCAUAUUGAAUAAUAAAAUAUAGGUAUAUAGUGAUACACAAGUUCCCAGCAAAUAAAGAAAUCUAAGAAAAAUAAAAGAGAAAACAACUCUCCAAAACUUGAAAGCAGAUCCUACCUUUGUUAACAUGAUCACAACA
rnacentral:misc_RNA from 1 species